rnacentral:rRNA from 1 species
AAGCAGCGGAGCGUGUGGUUAAUUCGAUGUUACACGAAGAACCUUACCAGGUUUGACAUGCAAGUGGUAGGAAGCCGAAAGGUGACGACCCUUCGGGGAGCUUGCACAGGUGCUGCAUGGCUGUCGUCAGCUCGUGUCGUGAGAUGUUCGGUUAAGUCCGCUAACGAGCGCAACCCUCGCUGUGUGUUAUAUGUGUCACACGGGACUGCCGGUCUUAAAGCCGGAGGAAGUGGGGAUGAUGUCAAGUCAGCAUGGCCUUUAUAUCCUGGGCUACACACACGCUACAAUGGCCAACACAAUAGGUUGCUAAGCCGCGAGGUGGCGCCAAUCCAUAAAGUUGGUCUCAGUUCAGAUUGUAGGCUGCAACCCGCCUGCAUGAAGAUGGAGUUGCUAGUAACCGCAGGUCAGCUAUACUGCGGUGAAUACGUUCCCGGGGCUU